CGUUGAAGAUGGCGCUGUUUGAAUAACCACUUUGAGUGAUUUAUCGUCGACAGCUAAAAUUUAGUAUUUAUAACAAAAAUAAAGUGUACAUAACGUUUACUUAUAUUAUUAUUAAUUGUACAUAAGAAAUAUGUCGACGUUUACUUUCGGAACGCCUGCAACUACAAGCAGCACUAGUUUUGGAUUUGGUCAAAAACCUACAACAGGUUUUAAUAGUACACCUUUUGGUUCAAAUAACCCAGCACCUACAUUAAGUUUUGGAACUACUUCAACACCAGCAACAACUACUGGGCCUACAUUUGGAUUUGGAACACCUGUGACCACAACGCAAACUCAACCAACUGGUUUAUUAGGAGCAAAUACAUCUACCACAACAACUGCUACUAGUUUAUUUCCAGCUCCAACUACUUCUGCACCACUAUUUGGUGGUGUUAAUUUAGGGACACCAGCAGCAAGCACUACCUUAACAUUUGGUACUUCAUCUGCUACGUCUACAGCUGGAAAUCUUACUUUUGCUGCACCUACUACCUCAACUUCUCUUUUUGGUGCACCUAUUAGUAGCAGUGGUGUGUUGGGAGCGAAAUCAGUUGCUGGUACUACUGUUACUACUAAUAAAGGAUUAGGAGGAUUAGAUGUAUCCUCAAGCAAUAAAGGACUUUUACAAAGUAACCAGACAGCAGCUAAAGACACUGUUUGGCCACCAGAAUUAAUACAGACAAUAGAGAAAUUCAAGGAAUUUGUAAAGGAACAAAAAGUAUUGUCAUCGGAUAUAGCUAGAGGUUCUGCCCGACCACUAACUAGAUGUGCCGAAGACACAGCAUCAUUAAUGGAACUUUUAACCACAUUAGCUGGAGCAGUUCAGCGAGAUCGUUGUGCUGCUGAUAAAUUAAGACAAGAUACAGCAAAAGCAUUGCAAAGUGCUGAAAUAGCUCAAAGAACACAUGACACCCCGCCAGGAUUACAAUAUGAAAAUAAUGCGCCAUUAUUAUUUUUCAUGGAAUUAGCUGAUAAUUUUGAACAUGAUUUAAUGUUAUUUAGGUCGCAAAUUGAAACAACAGAAAAACAUAUACAAACAAUGAUGACUCCAAAAACUCUAACACCACAGGAAUUAACAAUGGCUAUGAGUAAGCUUCACGAGUCUUUGGUAGCAGUUGCUGGAAAAUUGCAAGGUGUACAUUCUAAAGUGCUACAACAAAAGGAACAGUACUUAAAUUUCAGAAAGUAUGUUUUAAAAGACAACACAAACGUGUUUGAAGAUAUCAAAACGAAUGGAAAAACAUUUCAUAGUAGCAUAGGAAGAAUUACAAGUGGACCAACUCCAUUUGGACCAGGAAACAAAAGUUUUCUCUCGUCAACAACAUUAAACUCUAAUAGACCAGGAAGCUAUGAAACACGAAAUCCAUUAGGAUACAUGGAGUCUGUAUCAUGCUCAAGAAUUUUGCUAAUAUAUUAAGGAUAUUAUUGGAUAUUAUUUGCAUUACAACAAAGUAUUCUUUAACUCUACAAUGACUUUGGGGAAAUACAAUAUCAACACCAUCUGCUACUAACAUUACCCUAGGCUCAUCAUUGAAACCACCAACCGCAAGUUUGACUUUUAAUACCCCAUCAAAUCUUACUGCACCUUUACCAACGAGUGAUUCAGGUUCAAGUUUUCAACUUCAAAAACCUCCUAUUGGUAAUAAACGGGGAAA
rnacentral:misc_RNA from 1 species